rnacentral:rRNA from 1 species
AUUGAACGCUGGCGGCAGGCCUAACACAUGCAAGUCGAGCGGAUGGAGGGAGCUUGCUCCUGGAUUCAGCGGCGGACGGGUGAGUAAUGCCUAGGAAUCUGCCUGGUAGUGGGGGAUAACGUCCGGAAACGGGCGCUAAUACCGCAUACGUCCUGAGGGAGAAAGUGGGGGUUCUUCGGACCUCACGCUAUCAGAUGAGCCUAGGUCGGAUUAGCUAGUUGGUGGGGUAAAGGCCUACCAAGGCGACGAUCCGUAACUGGUCUGAGAGGAUGAUCAGUCACACUGGAAGUGAGACACGGUCCAGACUCCUACGGGAGGCAGCAGUGGGGAAUAUUGGACAAUGGGCGAAAGCCUGAUCCAGCCAUGCCGCGUGUGUGAAGAAGGUCUUCGGAUUGUAAAGCACUUUAAGUUGGGAGGAAGGGCAGUAAGUUAAUACCUUGCUGUUUUGACGUUACCAACAGAAUAAGCACCGGCUAACUUCGUG